rnacentral:rRNA from 1 species
ACGGAGGGCGCGAGCGUUAAUCGGAAUCACUGGGCGUAAAGCGUGCGUAGGCUGUUUGAUAAGUCAGGCGUGAAAUCCCUCGGCUCAACCGGGGAACUGCGCUUGAUACUGUCGAACUCGAGUCCUGGAGAGGGUGGCGGAAUUCCUGGUGUAGGAGUGAAAUCCGUAGAUAUCAGGAGGAACACCGGUGGCGAAGGCGGCCACCUGGACAGGUACUGACGCUGAGGCACGAAAGCGUGGGGAGCAAACAG